rnacentral:lncRNA from 1 species
UCGACAAGACCGUAUCAUGAAGGGGUACAAACUGGUAUAACUAUUACAUUCAUUCCAAGGUUAGAUAAACUACAAAUUCCAAAAAAGAAAAAAAUAAGAUUGCUCGAUCGUCGAAAUCCCUUUUUCCGGUGAUCUCCUAAAAACAUAAAGUACUUCAAGUAAGGACAAAAAAAGGAUAAAAGUUGGUAAAAAGCAACUAUGGAAGUGUCCUUUUUUAUAUGCAAUCAAAAUAAAGGGUUGAAACACCAUAGAAUGCAUUGCAGUGACGGCCGAGCGUUUACGAUCUAAACAGGUGUCCACCGCUCAAGAAAGAGUUAACUGCAAAACGAUCAAAAGACAUCAAAAUCUUUAGAAUCAAACAAGCAUAAAGACUACGAUGAUCAAUCGUCUCAAACACCAUUACAAACAUCCGAAAAAGCUUCCAAGAUCUGGCAAUGGCGAAAGGCCCCUCAGAGAGGGAUGGUUUUGUCAUUAGCACAAAAGGUUGAAGGGGCAUUUUUGUCUUUAUUUCUAAAAUUCAAGAUUUUAUUGUAAUUAAUUGUAAUUAGGUUUAGUUUUGAGCAUCCACCCUUGUUUUGUGGAUACUCUAUAAAUAUAAAUCUAGGGAAAGUGUAAAAGGGUCUGAUCAUUCAUUUAUGAAAUAGAGGCAUUAAGCCCGUUUUUACUUGUUUUUUUGCUCCUAACCCUUGGAUCUAGUGUCAAAGAGAGAGAAAACUUUUCAGAGAAAGAAAACUACCCCUAGCCUUUGCUAACUGCAUGGCUCAAUACCCUCUCUCCUUCUCCUUUCUUUCUUCUAUCUCUUCACCUGUUACUUGCACCCCGCAGUAACCCGUGCCAGCGGAAUACGCAUGCUCGUGUCUCUCUCCCCGUGCAUCUCUAGCAUAGACACCGCAAUAGCCGUGGUAACGUGUAUCACCCUGCUAUCCUAAGUACGCUUGACCCAAUACCCCUCAUAGUUAACUUAGGAUCCUAACCCUCAGAUCAUCGCUCUAACUUCCUCUCUGUACAGUGAAGUUGAGUCGUGAGAGACACAUAUGCUUUCUCCCUCAGUCACUCGAGAGGAGUCUUCCUGAGUUGAAAAAUCAAGAGGGUUCUAAUUCUUCGAUUACGCUAAUCACCCGAGGGUACAACAUUCGCGUAGAGAGGGGAAUCUUCAUCACCUUGGUUAGGUACCAUGAUCUUGCCCUCUGGGUCGGGUCGACUUGGUGGUUUGGUUCCAGGCUCAAAAUGGACCCAGGUCUUGAGAUCUCUCUCUUCGGUAACCACGUAAAGAACACGUGGGUAGGAGUACCAACCAGUGAGAGAGGAAUUAGGGUCGUGAGGCGGGACUUACCUCACAGUGGUCCAUGACACACUCGGGCUGGCUCGCGUGGGUGCCUUCUUAGAUCACGUUGGAAAGCUCCCCUGGCCUAGGGUCGUUUUGGAAUCGCCUCCCUUGACAUGUUUUACUUUUCCUGUAAACACACACGCCCAUACAUGAGAGGUCCCAACAAGCGGGUCUGGGGACCCAAACUUGUCGAAAUUAAAAUGAGGUGAAAUGAAAUAAAAAUAAAAAAUAAAAUGGAAGGAGAUGAAUUAAAUUAAAAAUAAAAUAAAAUUAUAAAAUGGAAUUAGAAUGAAGUGAAAUAGGUAAAUUAAUAAAUUAAAAUAAACUGAAGUAAAGGAAAAUAAAAAGGGAUAAAAGAAAAUACGGUAAAGUAAAAUGAAAUUAAAAGAGGCAAAUAAAAUAAAAAAACAUAAAGUAAAAGUAAAAUAAAUGAGAUAAAUAAAAUAAAUAAAUCAAAUGAAAUAAAAAAAAGGUAAAGUAAGAUAAAUAAAGU